rnacentral:rRNA from 1 species
AAACCAACAGGGAUUGCCUCAGUAACGGCGAGUGAAGCGGCAACAGCUCAAAUUUGAAAUCUGGCCUCUUUGGGGUCCGAGUUGUAAUUUGUAGAGGAUGUUUCGGGUACCGCCUCGGUUUAAAUUUCUUGGAACAGAAUGUCAAAGAGGGUGAGAAUCCCGUCUUGGACCGGCGGUAGGGCCCAUGUGAAACUCCUUCGACGAGUCGAGUUGUUUGGGAAUGCAGCUCAAAAUGGGUGGUAAAUUUCAUCUAAAGCUAAAUAUUGGCCAGAGACCGAUAGCGCACAAGUAGAGUGAUCGAAAGAUGAAAAGCACUUUGAAAAGAGAGUUAAACAGUAUGUGAAAUUGUUGAAAGGGAAGCGCUUACAACCAGACUUGAGCGCGGCGGUUCCCCCUUCCUUUUGGUUGGGUUACUCCGUCGUGUCCAGGCCAACAUCGGUUUCGGGGGUCGGUUAAAGACCUUGGGAAUGUAUCUACCCUUCGGGCGUAGACUUAUAGCCCAGGGUGUCAUGCGGCCUCCCGGGACCGAGGAACGCGCUUCGGCUCGGAUGUUGGCGUAAUGGUUGUCAGCGAC